UGGGGUGUCGCCUAGAGGCCUAUGGCAACCGGCUUUGACCCGGUUAUUCGUUGGUUCGAAUCCAACCACCUCUGCCA
rnacentral:tRNA from 1 species